UUUCAGAUUGGAUGUCUGUAGCAGCUUAAAGCUGGAGGGAACCGAAGGAUGGCGGGGUCAUAUCCAGCAUGGACCAAAGUAUGGAGGGUGGACUGCUGAAGUGCUCUUGAGCAAGGAGUACCUUGAAAGUCUUAAAAAACCACAACAAGACCAUGCUGGAAUAUGUCAUGCUGCCUUUGCCAACACUUUCAAUCCAAGUGUUUUAAAAGAAGUGACAACAACAUCAAGCCAACGAGAAUGACUGUAUUGUACAGGUCAUCUUGGAGAAUGAGGAAGAGGCAGAGGAAGAAGAGGAAAGAGGAGAAGGACAGGAGACCAAGACAGUAAAUGAGACACAGAAGUAGUGAUUGAUUGAAUAAAAAGGCCUUGAGUGCUAUUUUAAGAGAAGGCAAAAAUUGUGUAUGUGGUGCAGUCCAACGUCUACUUUUACCUCAGAAAUGUUUUUUUUUUCUUUCUUGUCUGAAAAUGUGUAAGUCAUCAUUUUAUAUGCUUAAACUGGGAUCCAUGAAUGCUGGAUGAUGGCUUUAUCCAGCACUAUUACUACUAACACAUCACUUUUGUUUUGUAAAGGUUUUUCCACACAGUCCUCAAAUCUCAAGUACAUGAAAGAUUUAACAAAAAAUCCAAGUAUUUUUGAAAGUAAAUCAGAUGGAGCACAUAUUCUUCUCUCUUUAUUAUAGCCCUUCUGACGAAAAAUAUCACGUUGCUCAUAGAACAAACAGAGAAGAGAAGAGAAGAGAUAUUACAUUAUUAAUAAGAGUAUCAUUAUGGCUGCUUAACAAUGCAGCGUUCAUAAAAGGGCCUGAGUCAUUACUGUCUGACUCCCAUGAAAAAGACAUUGUUAAUCACCCUACAGUAUGGCUCUUACUGCCACAGCUUGUGUGUAAUUGUAUGUCCAACGGGUUACAAAAUUCAUAUUUUAUUUAUAUCAUCACUCAGAAAUUAUAAACUUGAGAUAAAUAAGAAAGUUCUCUCAGCCAGCAUGUCUUUGCUUCAAGCAUCAAUAGUUACAUGAGAUUAGGAUAUAGUCAGGUGAGAUUGAGAUAAAGGUUCAACAUCUCAUUUAUUGUAACACAUAAAGUUGCUUUACACGAGGCCUGCAGUCACAACUGUCAGUGAAAGACAAGCACUUGCUCUCUAUGAGGCAUGAUGGUGUAAAGGAAAGAAAAUAUGAAAGGAAAAAGACAGAAAGCGGUGCCUUAAUCACUCUCAUUCCCUCUCUCUCCUUCUGUUUCUGUAUGCCUUCAGAGAUGCUUUAGUCACUAUAAUCCGCUGAGCGUUGCUUUAAUCACAUCUUCGUGGGUCUCCACUUUUUAAUUAAGGCCCGUGUUUCAGCUCAUUUCACUGCGCAUAUUUAGCGAGCCGGUGGGAUGCCGAGGCAUUCAUCAGAAGGAUAGUCUGACAGAACAGCAUCAGGCCGUUCCUGAGCAUGGAUUUUAAAGACACUGAUUGGGUUUUGAACCAAGGGAAGAUGAAGGCACACACACACACACACACACACACGAUUACAGACACAAAAAGAUCACUGCAUAUCCUGUUAUUUUAAAUAUAUUUCCACAGGAUACAUAUGCAUUGACUAAAGGAGUAAAGGGCACCUCUGACUCUUGGCUCUUUUAAACAAGCCAAUUAAACAUUCUCUUCAAAUAAC